rnacentral:tRNA from 1 species
GGGGCUGUAGCUCAGCUGGUCAGAGCGCGUUACUGAUAAUGACGAGGUCGUAGGUUCAAGUCCUACCAGCCCCACCA